UUGACCUCGGAUCAGGUAGGGAUACCCGCUGAACUUAAGCAUAUCAAUAAGCGGAGGAAAAGAAACCAACCGGGAUUGCCUCAGUAACGGCGAGUGAAGCGGCAAGAGCUCAAAUUUGAAAGCUGGCUCCUUCGGA
rnacentral:rRNA from 3 species